GGCACGGUGGUGCAGUGGGUAGCAGUGUCGCCUCCCAGCAAGAAGGUCCUGGGUGCAAAUCCAAUCUGGGCCU
rnacentral:tRNA from 1 species